rnacentral:lncRNA from 1 species
GUAGCUGUGGAAGGGCGGCGUAGAAGAGGAAAGGCUGGGGGUUUCGGAUGGUUGUUUUUGAAGCCAUCAGUAUUCUUGAAGAAGCAGCAUAUCUUGAACUGUCCUAUGGGUGAAGGCUUUGAUGUGGUCCUGUAAAAACUGGGAAGAUUUGGAGGAUCAUCUGAAUACCCAUCCAACAGAGAUCCAUGAUUCAUGUAUUUCUCAAGACAGCCAUACACUAAAAUUAUAAGAUCAUAAGAAUAUUAAUUAUAUUCUACCAAUGCAAUACAAGCAUUGAAAUGGAUGGCAUCUGAUCCUGCUUCAUGUGAUUCUUCAUUUAGCUCUGGACUCUUUACAUCAUUAAGCUUAUGCAACAUGAAAAUGGCAAGGAUGAAGACCUUUAUGAUGAUCCAUUUCCAUUUAAUGAAUAGAAGAAGUGUUAUCAAUUCUGUUGAUGGACCCCUUAAUCUCUUCUACUGAUUAUCUUCUACUUGAACCAGUGCCAAAUUAAUGUUGCAAGCUUUGUCUUGAAAUAUGUAAGACUUAUAACUUUGUUGUUAUUCC